ensembl:lncRNA
AGAGGAAGCAUGAGGGGAAGACUUCUGUCAUGGUCCGCGGCCCGGCGUCCGAGGUGCUGAUGGGAUGCCCACUCCCGUGGGCGUGGCUGCUAACUCCACACCUGCAUCCCAUCCCAGGCGAUCACCAGGUGGACUAUUUAAUCCUGCCCAGCCUGCUGCUCCACGCCAGUCCGUAGUCGUCCUUCAGCGGUAACGUACACCUGCGGGAAAGCCCUUAUGCAAACCUAUCCUUGUGAACUAACACUAACUCUGCCUUGUAUACUCAGAUCACAGCUCGGCGUGUUUGAGCCACCAGCCUGUCCACCUGCCUGUCCGGAAUUUGGAUCACGAUCAGCCCCAGCCGCCUCGACCUUUCUGAAGCUUCUCCCCACGGACCCUCACCCCUCCCUCCGGUUCCCUCGGCCCCGCUAUCAUCCCUCCCACAGUCCCGCUCUCGGCGUUCCUGCGCGAUUCACCUCCCGGUCCCUCGGUUUUUCUGGUUCCAUGCGUUUUUUUCCCUUCUACCCUCCCGGGACACCCUCAGUUAUAAUAAAGUUUAUUUUUUGUUCUCUCGUACCGCUGUGUGUGUGUUCUGCUCCUGGGUCCAACUUGUGCGUGGAACUUCGGUUCAUGACAGCUUCGCAAAGCCAAAAUACUCAUGCCCUCAUACUUCUGAUGACUGUACACAGUUUCUGUUUGUAGCGUUUUGAUUUUAUCACAUAUAUCUGAUGUUUUGGGAGAUAUAAGUGUUUCGGUGGAGGUUUCGAAAAGACAGAAAAUUGUUUGCGAUGUCUGAUGUUGCAAGAGAUGUGGC